GUCGCGCGUAGGUAAACUACCUGACCAGGACAAACUCUUGCUGGAUCCUGAAUUUCUCCCCGCGCUCGCCUUGAAAGCGAACGUGGCGUUAAACCCACCGGGGGUUCAAAUCCCUCCGCUUCCGCCA
rnacentral:tRNA from 1 species